rnacentral:rRNA from 1 species
UACGGAGGGUGCAAGCGUUAUCCGGAUUCACUGGGUUUAAAGGGUGCGUAGGCGGGCAGGUAAGUCAGUGGUGAAAUCUUUGGACUUAACCCGAAAACUGCCAUUGAUACUAUCUGUCUUGAAUAUUGUGGAGGUUUGCGGAAUAUGUCAUGUAGCGGUGAAAUGCUUAGAUAUGACAUAGAACACCUAUUGCGAAGGCAGCAAACUACGCAUAUAUUGACGCUGAGGCACGAAAGCGUGGGGAUCAAACAGG